rnacentral:tRNA from 1 species
GGGAAGGUAGCUCAGUGGUAGAGUGCUUGCCUUGCAUGCAUGAGGCUCUGGUUUCCAUUCCU